rnacentral:rRNA from 1 species
UACGAAGGGGGCUAGCGUUGUUCGGAAUUACUGGGCGUAAAGGGCGCGUAGGCGGCCUUGUAAGUCGGGGGUGAAAGCCUGUGGCUCAACCACAGAAUUGCCUUCGAUACUGCAGGGCUUGAGACUGGAAGAGGUUGGUGGAACUGCGAGUGUAGAGGUGAAAUUCGUAGAUAUUCGCAAGAACACCGGUGGCGAAGGCGGCCAACUGGUCCGGUUCUGACGCUGAGGCGCGAAAGCGUGGGGAGCAAACAGG